rnacentral:rRNA from 1 species
UGGCGGACGGGUGAGUAAUGUCUGGGAAACUGCCUGAUGGAGGGGGAUAACUACUGGAAACGGUAGCUAAUACCGCAUAACGUCGCAAGACCAAAGAGGGGGACCUUCGGGCCUCUUGCCAUCGGAUGUGCCCAGAUGGGAUUAGCUAGUAGGUGGGGUAAAGGCUCACCUAGGCGACGAUCCCUAGCUGGUCUGAGAGGAUGACCAGCCACACUGGAACUGAGACACGGUCCAGACUCCUACGGAGGCAGCAUG